GCUUCAGGCCCUGUGAAUAAAACAGCGUCCCCAUGCAGUGAUGUUGGAAGAUGUGUCUAUCUGACAAGAGCAAGUGGAAGAAGGUCUUCCUGACUCCGGUGUAGUACGUGGCUGCAGCCUGGCUGUAGAGGGUGACGCUACGAGGCUGACUUCACAGACAACAUCCUCAGGACAGGGCAGUGGGUAUGUGCAUCUUCUCAAGCCAUGACGAAGAGCUGUUUCCAAAGCAGUGCUCUUCUCAGAAGAACCUGAUCAAUAAAAGACAAAGUAAAACGCACAUAUGAU